rnacentral:rRNA from 1 species
AACGCGAAGAACCUUACCUGGGCUUGACAUGCUGGUAGUACCUUAGUGGAAACGCUGAGGGAUCUACCGUGAGGUAGAAGCCAGCACAGGGGCUGCACGGCUGUCGUCAGCUCGUGCCGUGAGGUGUUGGGUUAAGUCCCGCAACGAGCGCAACCCCUGUCCUUAGUUGCGGCAGCACCCAUGCGGUGGCUGAGCACUCUAAGGAGACUGCCGCCGAUGAGGCGGAGGAAGGUGGGGAUGACGUCAAGUCCGUGUGGCCUUUAUGUCCAGGGCUACACACGCGCUACAAUGGGUGGUACAACAGGCAUAGCGACCCUGUAAAGGGGAGCGAAUCCAUAAAACCAUCCUCAGUUCGGAUUGGGGUCUGCAACCUCGACCCCAUGAAGUACGGAAUCGCUAGUA